CCUACGGGAGGCAGCAGUGGGGAAUAUUGGGCAAUGGGCGAAAGCCUGACCCAGCAACGCCGCGUGAAGGAAGAAGGCUUUCUGGUUGUAAACUUCUUUUGACAGGGAAGAGCAGAAGACGGCACCUGUCGAAUAAGCCACUGCUAACUACGUGCCAGCAGCCGCGGUAAUUCGUAGGUGGCAAGCGUUUUCCGGAUUUACUGGGUGUAAAGGGCGUGUAGCCGGGAUGACAGGUCAGAUGUGAAAUCCGGGGGCUGAACCCCCGAACUGCAUUUGAAACUGUUGGUCUUGAGUAUCGGAGAGGCAGGCGGAAUUCCUAGUGUAGCGGUGAAAUGCGUAGAUAUUAGGAGGAACACCAGUGGCGAAGGCGGCCUGCUGGACGACAACUGACGGUGAGGCGUGAAAGCGUGGGGAGUAAACAGGAUUAGAUACCCUGGUAGUC
rnacentral:rRNA from 1 species